UUUUUUUGCGAUCACACGCAAUCAAUACAACUUUCAACAACGGAUCUCUUGGCUCUCGCAUCGAUGAAGAACGCAGCGAAAUGCGAUACGUAAUGUGAAUUGCAGAAUUCAGUGAAUCAUCGAAUCUUUGAACGCACCUUGCGCCCUUUGGCAUUCCGAAGGGCACACCCGUUUGAGUGUCGUGACAUUCUCAAACCUUCUUGGUUUCUUAACUGAGAAGGCUUUGGACUUUGGAGGCUUUUGCUGGACCUUCNUUUGUUGAAGCCAGCUCCUCUUAAAUGAAUUAGUGGGGUCUGCUUUGCUGAUCCUUGACGUGAUAAGAUGCUUCUACGUCUUGGGUUUUGCACUGUUUGCUCUAGAUCCUGCUUCUAACCGUCUCAUAGAAGACAAAUGGUCGACUUGACCCACGAACCUUGACCUCAAAUCGGGUGAGACUACCCGCUGAACUUAAGCAUAUCAAUAAGCGGAGGAAAAGAAACUAACAAGGAUUCCCCUAGUAACUGCGAGUGAAGCGGGAAAAGCUCAAAUUUAAAAUCUGGUG
rnacentral:rRNA from 1 species